AAUUUCCGCUGACCGGUUUAAAUCGGCUAGCAAAGUGUGGAGGACGAAAUGCUGACGGUGAACGAGGAGGAUUCUCCAUCCCAUUGGUAUCAUACCCUCCGGUCGGUUUGUCUUCAUCCGUGCAUACAAUUCAGAGUGGAAGCUUUAUUUUAUGAAAAAAGAGAGAUGCCAUGAUUUCUAUGCCAAAAUCUAUAUGAGAGAGAGAGAGAGAAAAGCGGGGAAA
rnacentral:lncRNA from 1 species